rnacentral:rRNA from 1 species
UACGUAGGCAGCGAGCGUUGUUCGGAGUUACUGGGCGUAAAGCGUGCGUAGGCGGUUUGUAAGUUUGGUGUGAAAUCCCCCGGCUUAACCUGGGAACUGCGUCUGAUACUGGAAGGCUUGAGGAUGGGAGAGGGAUGUAGAAUUGCUGGUGUAGCGGUGGAAUGCGCAGAUAUCAGGAGGACACCGAUGGCGAAGGCAGGUCACUGGGCCGCAACUGACGCUGAGGAGCGAAAGCAUGGGGAGCGAACAGG